rnacentral:rRNA from 1 species
AACGAACGCUGGCGGCAGGCUUAACACAUGCAAGUCGAGCGCCCCGCAAGGGGAGCGGCAGACGGGUGAGUAACGCGUGGGAACGUACCUUUUGCUACGGAAUAGCCUCGGGAAACUGGGAGUAAUACCGUAUGUGCCCUUCGGGGGAAAGAUUUAUCGGCAAAAGAUCGGCCCGCGUUGGAUUAGGUAGUUGGUGAGGUAACGGCUCACCAAGGCGACGAUCCAUAGCUGGUCUAAGAGGAUGAUCAGCCACACUGGGACUGAGACACGGCCCAGACUCCUACGGGAGGCAGCAGUGGGGAAUAUUGGACAAUGGGCGCAAGCCUGAUCCAGCCAUGCCGCGUGAGUGAUGAAGGCCUUAGGGUUGAAAAGCUCUUUCACCGGAGAAGAUAAUGACGGUAUCCGGAGAAGAAGCCCCGGCUAACUUCGUGCCAGCCGCCGCAGUAAUAC